rnacentral:tRNA from 1 species
GUCUCAGUGGCAUAGAGGUUAGCGCUCGAACCCCGGUUAGGCACGAGACACAGGUUCGAAUCCCGUCUGAGACA